CUCCACCAACCUCUUCUACUUCAGGAGCCCCUGGCAGGAGCUGCGGGCGGCGGCGGCCAUGUCCCUCGGGUUCCUGGUGCUCCACGUGGACGAGGAGCAAGGCCAGCAGCUGGACCUGGACCAGCUCAUCUCCGCCCUGCAGCUGCUGCUGAAGGAUCCGGCUCCGGCCGUGCGGAUCAAGGCGGCCGAGACCAUGGGACGCCUCGUCCGCAUCCUCUGAAUCCCGGAAUUCCCGAAAUUCCCGGGAAUUCCCAGCUCUGGGACCCUGGGCCACCUCAAUCACCUCCUCUGAAUCCUGGAAUUCCCGGAAUUCCCGGGAAUUCCCAGCUCCGGGAC